GGAGUUAGCCGGUGCUUCUUCUGCGAGUAACGUCACAGAUGUAAGGUAUUAACUUACACCCUUUCCUCCUCGCUGAAAGUGCUUUACAACCCGAAGGCCUUCUUCACACACGCGGCAUGGCUGCAUCAGGGUUUCCCCCAUUGUGCAAUAUUCCCCACUGCUGCCUCCCGUAGGAGUCUGGGCCGUGUCUCAGUCCCAGUGUGGCUGAUCAUCCUCUCAGACCAGCUAGGGAUCGUCGCCUAGGUGAGCCUUUACCUCACCUACUAGCUAAUCCCACCUGGGCUUAUCCAUCAGCGCAAGGCCCGAAGGUCCCCUGCUUUCCCCCGUAGGGCGUAUGCGGUAUUAGCAGUCGUUUCCAACUGUUAUCCCCACAAAUGGGCAAAUUCCCAGGCAUUACUCACCCGUCCGCCGCUCGUCAUCUUCAAAGCAAGCUUUUGAAAUGUUACCGCUCGACUUGCAUGUGUUAGGCCUGCCGCCAGCGUUCAAUCUGAACCAAGAUCAAACUCUGA
rnacentral:rRNA from 1 species